GGCGAACGGGUGAGUAACGCGUUGGUGACCUACCCCAAAGUGUGGGAUAACAGUCCGAAAGGAUUGCUAAUACCGCAUGUGGUCAUUGGAUCUAGAAACUGAUGACUAAAGGAGCAAUUCGCUUUGGGAGGGACCUGCGUCCCAUCAGCUAGUUGGUGAGGUAAUGGCUCACCAAGGCUACGACGGGUAGGGGACCUGAGAGGGUGGCCCCCCACAAUGGAACUGAAACACGGUCCAUACACCUACGGGUGGCAGCAGUAGGGAAUAUUGCACAAUGGGCGAAAGCCUGAUGCAGCAACGCCGCGUGUGCGAUGAAGGCCUUCGGGUCGUAAAGCACUUUUCUGAGAGAUGAGAAAGGACAGUAUCUCAGGAAUAAGUCUCGGCUAACUACGUGCCAGCCGCCGCGG
rnacentral:rRNA from 1 species